rnacentral:rRNA from 1 species
CCUACGGGAGGCAGCAGUGAGGAAUAUUGGUCAAUGGGAGAGAUCCUGAACCAGCCAAGCCGCGUGAGGGAAGACGGCCCUAUGGGUUGUAAACCUCUUUUGUCGGAGAACAAAACCCGGGACGUGUCCCGGACUGCGUGUAUCCGAAGAAAAAGCAUCGGCUAACGCCGUGCCAGCAGCCGCGGUAAUACGGAGGAUGCGAGCGUUAUCCGGAUUUAUUGGGUUUAAGGGGUGCGUAGGCGGUCCGUUAAGUCAGCGGUAAAAUUGCGGGGCUCAACCCCGUCGAGCCGUUGAAACUGGCAGACGUGAGUUGGCGAGAAGUACGCGGAAUGCGCGGUGUAGCAGUGAAAUGCUUAGAUAUCGCGCAGAACCCCGAUUGCGAAGGCAGCGUACCGGCUCCACACUGACGCUGAGGCACGAAAGCGUGGGUAUCGAACAGGAUUAGAUACCCGAGUAGUC